CUCUGAGAGCUGCUGCUGCAACAGUGAAGCAAGAGGAUGAUCGACGACUAUUUCACAACGCAGCUCUCCGGAAGCGUAGGAAGGAAGCAAGUGACCACAGGGAAAAUGGAGAUGUUCCGUCUGAAAAUGGGUCACAUAAAGGUGUGCAAUAUCCUUUUUCAGUGAAUGAGAAGGUUCUUAUUAAGGGAAACAGGAGGACACCUGAUAAAUUUGUUGGCAAGGAAGCAGUAAUAACAUCAGUGUGUCUUAAUGGCUGGUAUUUGCUUAAGAUUAUUGAGAGUGGAGAAAAUGUUCGACUACAGUACCGUUCUUUAAGAAAGUUUCCCACGUCCCACGACUCCGAGGGCAGAUGUACAUCACAGCCAGUUCAGAACAGCAGCUGAUGCCUCCUUGAUAUUGUGACUUAAAUAUUGGGAUCACUUCCCAGUAUUCUACUCAAGGUUGGAAUUGUGGGAUAUAGUUAUUAUUUAAGUUGUCAGCAUAGAACUGGAAAUUGGAUAACGAGAGUCUGUAUAAAUGUUUGAGUUUCUGGUAGAAUCUUAUAAGGGGAAAAAAAAAAAGAAAAAAAAAAGAAAAAGAAACCCACUUUCUUGGUGAUGAAAAAAUGAUACUGGAGCCUCAAUUAUCUGUAACGUCUGUUUUGAUAUAAAUUAAAGGCAGACUAUUGGUUCCUGUUCCUUUCUUCCAUGGCUGUACUUUUAACCCUUAAGGAUGGUUCCCGUUGUUUCCAUUAUUUAAUAGGUGAAUAGUUCACUUUCAGAAAACUCUUUGACUGAUACACCUUUUAGCAUAUUUAACAUAUGGAGGAGCUUCUUUUUCA